CCCUCCUGUUUCCUACCUUUUAGGUGCAUGAGGGUGACUUCCCUGGUAUCCAGUGGCUCAAGCUGAUGGGAGUCAGUGUUCCCACUUUGACUCCCUCCUCUCUUCCUCCCGCACGGGCUCUGUGUAAGCUGUCCCUUUCUCUCAGCAUCUGACUUCAUCACAGGGGGUCCGGUUGCGCUGUUAAAGCACCGCAGCGCUGACCGGGCCCCCUGAAAAUACAUAGCAUCGGGUGGGCAAUGCUGUUAGGGUUGGCCUAAACGUGCGGCCCUGGCGGUUCUACUGCGCCGGCCGGAACACAUGGCCGGCUAGGCACCGCGGUCACAUGGGUCCACAGGGCGGCAGGGCCACCUUGAGUGAUGGGCAGGGUCGCAGCUGCGACACCUGUGACUGUGGUAGUUCUGCCACUGGUGUCAGGAAUACAUGUAUGUGUUCCUGACUCUAUAG